CCCCCNGAUUUGACAACAGAUUGUCCUGUUCAGAUGAAGUUAGUACAGGUUAACACAUGCANUCGAGGGCAGCAUGAUCGAAGCUUGCUUUGAUUGAUGGCGACCGGCGCACGGUGAGUAACGCGUAUCCAACCUUCCCUGUANUAGAGGAUAGCCCGGCGAAAGUCGGAUUAAUACUCUAUGUUAUUCAAAGCGGACAUCUAAUUUGAAUCAAAGGUUUACCGGUAUAGGAUGGGGAUGCGUCUGAUUAGGUUGUUGGCGGGGUAACGGCCCACCAAGCCUACGAUCAGUAGGGGUUCUGAGAGGAAGGUCCCCCACAUUGGAACUGAGACACGGUCCAAACUCCUACGGGAGGCAGCAGUGAGGAAUAUUGGUCAAUGGACGAAAGUCUGAACCAGCCAAGUANCGUGCANGAUGACGGCCUAUGGGUUGUAAACUGCUUUUAUACAGGGAUAAAGUCAGUUACNUUUACUGUUUGUAGUACUGUAUGAAUAAGNACCGCUAUCCNUGCCACANCGCGUAUACGAAGUCAGCUUUUCCGAUUAUGGUUUAAGGACCAGCUGANAUACUACUUAANUNCCCCACGUGAU
rnacentral:rRNA from 1 species